CGGUAGUUCCGAUUUAUCGGAAUGAGAGUGGCGCACGGGUGCGUAACGCGUAUGCAACCUACCCUAUACAGGGGGAUAGCCCGGAGAAAUCUGGAUUAAUACCCCAUGGUACCAAGUUGAGGCAUUUUGAUUUGGUUAAAGAUUCAUCGGUAUAGGAUGGGCAUGCGUCUGAUUAGCUAGUUGGCGGUGUAACGGACCACCAAGGCGACGAUCAGUAGGGGUUCUGAGAGGAAGGUCCCCCACACUGGCACUGAGAUACGGGCCAGACUCCUACGGGAGGCAGCAGUAGGGAAUAUUGGGCAAUGGACGAGAGUCUGACCCAGCCAUGCCGCGUGCAGGAAGACGGCGUUCUGCGUUGUAAACUGCUUUUAUCUGGGAAGAAAAGGCCCAUGCGUGGGACAUUGCCGGUACCAGAUGAAUAAGCACCGGCUAACUCCGUGCCAGCAGCCGCGGUAAUACGGAGGGUGCAAGCGUUGUCCGGAUUUAUUGGGUUUAAAGGGUGCGUAGGCGGCUAUUUAAGUCAGUGGUGAAAGACUCCGGCUCAACCGGGGCAGUGCCAUUGAUACUGGAUAGCUUGAGUAUUGGAGGGGUACAUGGAAUUGAUGGUGUAGCGGUGAAAUGCAUAGAUACCAUCAGGAACACCGAUAGCGAAGGCAUUGUACUGGCCAAUAACUGACGCUGAUGCACGAAAGCAUGGGGAGCGAACAGGAUUAGAUACCCUGGUAGUCCAUGCCGUAAACGAUGAUUACUCGCUGUUAUGUCUUUAUGAUGUAGCGGCCAAGCGAAAGCGUUAAGUAAUC
rnacentral:rRNA from 1 species